AUUGAACGCUGGCGGCAGGCCUAACACAUGCAAGUCGAACGAGUGGCGGACGGGUGAGUAAUGUCUGGGAAACUGCCCGAUGGAGGGGGAUAACUAAUGGAAACGGUAGCUAAUACCGCAUACCAUCGGGUGUGCCCAGAUGGGAUUAGAUAGUAGGUGGGGUAACGGCUCACCUAGGCGACGAUCCCUAGCUGGGCUGAGCGGAUGACCAGCCACACGGGAAAUGAGUCACGGUCCAGACUCCUACGGUAGGCAGCAGUGGGGAAUUUUGGACAAUGGGGGAAACCCUGAUCCACCCAUCCCGCGCGUGCGAUGACGGCCUUCGGGUUGUAAAGCAUUUUUGGCAGGAAAGCGGUACCUGCAGAAUAAGCAACGGCUAACUACGUGCCAGCAGCCGCGGUAAUUC
rnacentral:rRNA from 1 species